AGUGAACGCUGGCGGUAGGCCUAACACAUGCAAGUCGAACGGCAGCACAGUAAGAGCUUGCUCUUACGGGUGGCGAGUGGCGGACGGGUGAGGAAUACAUCGGAAUCUACUUUUUCGUGGGGGAUAACGUAGGGAAACUUACGCUAAUACCGCAUACGACCUACGGGUGAAAGCAGGGGAUCUUCGGACCUUGCGCGAUUGAAUGAGCCGAUGUCGGAUUAGCUAGUUGGCGGGGUAAAGGCCCACCAAGGCGACGAUCCGUAGCUGGUCUGAGAGGAUGAUCAGCCACACUGGAAGUGAGACACGGUCCAGACUCCUACGGGAGGCAGCAGUGGGGAAUAUUGGACAAUGGGCGCAAGCCUGAUCCAGCCAUACCGCGUGGGUGAAAAAGGCCUUCGGGUUGUAAAGCCCUUUUGUUGGGAAAGAAAAGCAGCAGGUUAAUACCCCGCUGUUCUGACGGUACCCAAAGAAUAAGCACCGGCUAACUUCGUG
rnacentral:rRNA from 1 species